rnacentral:lncRNA from 10 species
GGCCACACUCAUCGUAGCAGAGAGGCAGGAACAGCUGGGCGAGGGUCCUUCUGUGACAUCUACUGCAUCACUGGGCUCUGUGAAGUGACUCAGCUGCCAGAACUCACACAAUAUUCUGCACCAAAACCUCACGGGAAAAAUGCUCCACGACCCUCAGGCUUAAACAGCAGUACUGGCCCCUCCCCAGAUCUCCAGCUCCCUGACCCUCAAACUCCAACUGCAGCACCAGCUCCGCCCCGGGUCUCCAGCUCCACAAUCCUCAAACUACAACAGCAGCACCAGCUCCCCUGUGGAUCUCCAGCUCAAUGACUCUCAGACUUGGGAGGCGGCACCGGCUCCCCACCAAGCCUCCAGCUCCACAACCUUCAAACUAGAACAGCAGCACCGGCUACCCCCUGGGUCUCCAGCUCCCUCAAAAUUCAACUAUAGCACUGGCUCUUCCCCGAGCCACCAGCUCCACAACCCUCAACUUACACAGUGGUAGCACCAGCUCCUCCCUAGGUCUCCAGCUACACGACCGUCAAACUUGAACUGCAACACCAGCUCCUCUUCGGCCUCCAGCUCCACAAUCCUCCAACAACAACAGCAACACCGGCUCCUCCCUGAAUCUCCAGCGCAACAACCCUCAGACUUGAGAGGUAGCACCGACACCUUCCCCAAGGCUCCAGCUCCAUGACCCUCAGAUUUGAACAGCGGUAGCACCAGCUCCUGUCCAGGUCUCCAGCUUCAUGAUCCUUAAACUAGAACAGCAGCACUGCCGCCUCCCUGGGUUUCCAGCUCCAUGACCCUAAGACAUGAAUGAAAGAACUGGGUCACCCCAGGGCUCCAACUCCAAGACCCACAGAUUUGAACGGCAGCACCGGCUCUUCCUGGGAUCUGCAGCUCCACAGCCUUCAAACUAGAUCAGCAGCACCGGCUCCUCCCUGGGUCUCCAGCUACACAAUCCUCAGACAUGAACAAUAGCACCGGCUCCUCCCUGGGUCUCCAGCUUCACUACCCUCAGACUAGAACAGCAACACUGGUUCCUCCCUGGGUCUCCAGCUCUACAAUCCUCAGACAUAAACAGCAGCACCACCGGCUCCUACCCUUGUCUCCACUUCCACGACCCUCAAACUACAACAGCAGUACCGGCCUCUCCCCAGGUCUCCACAUCCAUGACCCUCAAAAUAGAAUGGCAUCAUCGGAUCCCUCCUGGGUCUCCAGCUCCCAAACCCUCAAACUUCAAUUGACACACCGGAUCCUCCCCACAGUUAAACAGCAGCACAGGCUGUUCCCAAAAGCUCCAGAUCCAUGAUCCUCUGACUUAAAUGGCGGUAGCACCGGCUCCUCCCCAGGUCUCCAGUUCCACAACCCUCAAACUACACAGCAGCACCGGCUCCUCCCCAGGUCCACAGCUCCACCACCCUCAUACUAGACACCAAGACUACCUCCUCCCUGCUCUCCAGCUACACGACCCUCAGUCUUGAACAGCAGCAGCUCCUCUCUGUACCUCAAGCCCCACGACCCUCAGACUUGAACAAGAACAACACCAUCUCCCCCCAGGGCUCCAGCUCGGGGACCUACAGAUUUAAACAGCAGCACCGGCUCUUCCUGUGAUCUCCAGCUCCACUAACCUCAAACUAGAAUAGCAGCACCGGCUCCUCUUUGGGUCUCCAGCUUCACUACUGUCAGGCUGGAACAGCAACACCGGUUCCUCCCUGGGUCUCCAGCUCAACGACUCUCAGAUUUGAAAGGCAGCACCGGCUCCUCACAAAGUUUCUGGCUCCAAGGCCCUCAAACUAGAAUAGCAGCAGCUGCUGCAUCUUGGGUCUCCAGCUCCACAACCCUCAAAGUAGAAAAGCAGCCCUGGCUCCUCCCUGCCUCUCCAGCUCCUCAAGUCUGAGUGUUGUAGAGCUGGAGACGCAGGGAGGAGUCAGUGCUGCUGUUCUAGUUUGAGGGUCGUGGAUCUGGAGACCCAGGGUGGAGCCGGUGCUGCUGUUCUAGUUUGAGGGUCAUGGAGCUGGAAGACCCCGGGAGGAGCUGCUGCUGCUGUUCUAGUGUGAGGGUCAUGGAGCUGGAGACCCGGGAAGGAGUCAUUUGAACAGCAGCACUGGCCCCUCCCCAGGUCUCAGGCUCCACGACCCUCAGACUUAAAAAGCCGUAGUACGGGCUUCUCCCUGGGUCUCCAGCUCUACAACCCUCAGACAUGAACAGCAGCACCGGCUCCUCCCCCUGUCUCCCGUUCCAUGACCCUCAAACUACAACAGCAGUACCAGCCUCUACCCAGGUCUCCAGAUCCACGACCCUCAAAAUAGAAUGGCAUCACCAGCUCCUCCCUGGGUCUCCAGCUCCCAAACCCUCAAACUUCAACUGACACAGCAGAUCCUCCCCACAGUUAAACAGCAGCAUGGGCUGUUCCCCAAAACUCCAGAUCCCUCUGACUUAAAUGGCGGUAGCACCAGCUCCUCCCCAGGUCUCCAGUUCCAUGACCCUCAAACUACAACAGCAACACAGGCUCCUCCCUGAAUCUCCAGCUCAACAACUCUCAGACUUGAGAGGCAGCACCGGCAACUCCCCAAGGCUCCAGCUCCACCACCCUCAGAUUUGAACAACCGUAGCACGACCUCCUGACCAGGUCUCCAGCUUCAUGAUCCUUAAACUAGAACAGCAGCACCGCUGCCUCCCUGGGUUUCCAGCUCCACGACCUUAAGACACGAAUGGCAGAACUGGCUCCCCACCAGGGUUCCAGCUUCGGGACCUAUAGAUUUAAAUGACAGCACCGGCUCUUCCCAGGAUCUCCAGCUCCACUCCCCUCAAACUAGAACAGCAGCAUCAGCUCCUCCCUGGCUCUCCAGCUCCCAAACCCUCAAACUUCAACUGACACACAGGAUCCUCCCCACAGUUAAACAGCAGCAUGGGCUGUUCCCCAAAACUCCAGAUCCACAACCUUCUGACUUAAAUGGCGGUAGCACUGGUUCCUCCCUAGAUCUCCAGUUCCAUGAUCCUCAAAUUACACAGCAGCACUGGCUCCUCCACAGGUCUCCAGCUCCACCACCAUCACACUAGACACCAAGACUACCUCUGCCCCUCUCUCCAGCUACACGACCCUCAGACUUGAACACCAGCAGCAGCUCCUUCCUGUACCUCAAGCCCCAUGACCUCGGAUUUGAACAACAACAACACCAGCUCCUGCCUAGGGCUCCAGCUGCAGAACCCACAGAUGUAAACGAUGGCACCGGCUCUUCCCAGGAUCUCCAGCGCCACUACCCUCAAACUAAAACAGCAGCACCAGCUCCUUUCUGGUUCUCCAGUUCCAUAACACUCAGGCAUGAACAGCAGCACCCACUCCUCCUUCCGGCUCAAGAUUCACUACCCUCAGACUAGUACAGCAAAACCGGUUCCUCCCUGGAUCUCCAGCUAAAUGACUCUCAGACUGGAAAGGCAGCACCAGCUCCUCCGUGGAUCUCCGGCUCCACGACACUCAAAACAACACGGCUCCUCCCUGGGUCUGUACCUCCAUGACCCUCAAACUACAACAACACUGCUCCUCCCUGGCUCUGCAGCUCCACCACCCUCAAACUAGAACAAGACUUCUCCUCCCCAGGGUGCCAGCUACCGAACCCUCAAAUUACAACAACAUUGCUCCUCCCUGGGUCUGUAGCUCCAGGACCCUCAGACCAGAACAAGACCUCUCCUCCCUGAGUCUCCAGCUUCCGGACCCUUGAAUUACAACAACAUUGCUCCUGCCUGGGUCUGCAUCUCCACAACCCUCAAAUUAAAACAAGAUCUCUCCUCCCUGGGUCACCAGCUUCGUGACCCUCGAACUAAAACAACAAUGCUCCUGCCUGGGUCUGCAGCUCCACGACCCUGAAACUAGAACAAGACUUCUCCACCCUGAGUCACCAGCUUCCUAACCCACGAACUACAGCAACAUUGCUCCUGCCUGGGUCUGCAGCUCCAUGAACAUCAAACUAGAACAAGACUUCUCCUCCCUGGGUCGCCAGCCUUCUGACACUCAAACUAAAACAACAGUGCUCCUGCCUGGGUCUGCAGCUCCAUGACCCUCAAACGAAAACAAGACCUCUCCUCCCUGGGUCGCCAGCUUCCUCACCCUCAAACUACAACCAAAUGGCUCCUCCCUGGUUCGGAAGCUCCACGACCCUGAAAUUCGAACAAGACUUCUCUUCCCCCGGUUGCCAGUUACCGGAACCUUGAAUUAUACCAAAAUUGCUCCUCCGUGGGUCUGCAGCUCCACGACCCUCAGACCAGAACAAGACCUCGCCUCCCCUGGGUCGCCAGCUUCCUGACCCUCGAAUUACAACCAAAUUGCUCCUCCCUGGGUCGACAGCUCCACGACCCUCAAACUCGAACAAGACUUCUCCUCCCCGGGUUGCCUGCUACCGGACCCUUGAAUUACAACAAAAUUGCUCCUCCCUGGUCCGGCAGCUCCACGAUCUUCAAACUAGAACAAGACCUCUCCUCCCUGGGUCGCCAGUUUCCGGACCCACCAAUUACAACCAAAUUGCUCCUCCCUGGUUCGGCAGCUCCACAACCCUCAAACUAGAACAAGACCUCUCCUCCCUGGGUCUCCAGCUUCCAGACCCUCGAAUGACAACCAAAUUGCUCCUCCCUGGGUCUGCAGCUCCACCACCCUCAAACUAAAACAAGACCUCUCCUCCCUGGGUCACCAGCUUCCUGACCCUCGAACUACAACAAAAUUGCUCCUCCCUGAUCAGCAGCUCCAACAGCCUCAAACUCGAACAAGACUUCUCCUUCCCAGGUUGCCAGCUACCAGACCCUCGAAUUACAACAACAUUGCUCCUCCCUGGGUCUGCAGCUCCACGACCCUCAGACCAGAAGAAGACCUCUCCUCCCCUGGGUCGCCAGCUUCCUGACCCUCGAAUUACAACCAAAUUGCUCCUCCCUGGGUCGGCAGCUCCACGACCCUCAAACUCCAACAACACUUCUCUUCCCUGGGUUGCCAGCUACCGGACCCUUGAAUUACAACAAAAUUGCUCCUCCCUGGGUCUGCAGCUCCACGACCCUCACACCAGAACAAGACCUCUCCUCCCUGGGUCGCCAGCUUUCGGACCCUCCAAUUACAACAACAUUGCUCCUCUCUGGUUCGGCAGCUCCACGACCCUCAAACUACAACAAGACCUCUCCUCCCUGGGUCUCCAGCUUCCAGACCCUCGAAUUACAACAGAAUUGCUCCUCCCUGGGUCUGCAGCUCUACGACCCUCAAACUAGAACAAGACCUCUCCUCCCUGGGUCACCAGCUUCCGGACCCCAGAAUUACAACAACAUUGCUCCUGCCUGGGUCUGCAGUUCCACAACCCUCAAACUAAAACAAGACCUCUCCUCCCUGGGUCGCCAGAUUCCUGACGCACGAAUUACAACAAAAUUGCUCCUCCCUGGUCGGCACCUCCACGAGCCUCAAACUCGAACAAGACUUCUCCUCCCCAGGUUGCCAGCUACCACACCCUCGAAUUACAACAACAUUGCUCCUCCCUGGGUAUGUAGCUCCACGACCCUCAGACCAGAAGAAGACAUCUCUUCCCUUGGUCACCAGCUUCCGGACCCCCCAAUUACAACCAAAUUGCGCCUCCCUGGUUCGGCAGCUCCACGACCCUCAAACUAGAACAAGACCUCUCCUCCCUGGGUAGCCAGCUUCCGGACCCUCGAAUUACAACAGCAUUGCUCCUCCCUAGUUCGGCAGCUCCACGACCCUCAAACUAGAACAAGACCUCUCCUCCCUGGGUCUCCAGCUUCCAGACCCUCGAAUUACAACCAAAUUGCUCCUCCCUGGGUCUGCAGCUCCACCACCCUCAAACUAAAAGAAGACCUCUCCUCCCUGGGUCACCAGCUUCCUGACCCUCGAACUACAACAAAAUUGCUCCUCCCUGAUCAGCAGCUCCACCAGCCUCAAACUCGAACAAGACUUCUCCUUCCCAGGUUGCCAGCUACCAGACCCUCGAAUUACAACAAUAUUGCUCCUCCCUGGGUCUGCAGCUCCAUGACCCUCAGACCAGAAGAAGACCUCUCCUCCCUGGGUCGCCAGCUUCCUGACCCUCGAAUUACAACCAAAUUGCUCCUCCCUGGGUCGGCAGCUCCACGACCCUCAAACUCGAACAAGACUUCUCCUACCCGGGUUGCCAGCUACCGGACCCUUGAAUUACAACAAAAUUGCUCCUCCCUGGGUCUGCAGCUCCACGACCCUCAUACCAGAACAAGACCUCUCCUCCCUGCGUCGCCAGCUUCCUGACCCUCGAAUUACAACCAAAUUGCUCCUCCCUGGGUCGGCAGCUCUACGACCCUCAAACUAGAACAAGACCUCUCCUCCCUGGGUCGCCAGCUUCCGGACCCUUGAAUUACAACAACAUAGCUCCUGCCUGGGUCUGCAGUUCCGCAACCCUCAAACUAAAACAAGACCUCUCCUCCCUGGGACACCAGCUUCCGGACCCUCCAAUUACAACCAAAUUGCUCCUCCCUGGUUCGGCAGCUCCAUGACCCUCAAACCAGAACAAGACCUCUCCUCCCUGGGUCUCCAGCUUCCAGACCCUCGAAUUACAACCAAAUUCCUCCUCCCUGGGUCUGCAGCUCCACCACCCUCAAACUAAAACAAGACCUCUCCUCCCUGGGUCACCAGCUUCCUGACCCUCGAACUACAACAAAAUUGCUCCUCCCUGAUCAGCAGCUCCACCAGCCUCAAACUCGAACAAGACUUCUCCUUCCCAGGUUGCCAGCUACCAGACCCUCGAAUUACAACAACAUUGCUCCUCCCUGGGUCUGCAGCUCCACGACCCUCAUACCAGAACAAGACCUCUCCUCCCCUGGGUCGCCAGCUUCCUGUCCCUCGAAUUACAACCAAAUUGCUCCUCCCUGAUCAGCAGCUCCAGCAGCCUCAAACUCGAACAAGACUUCUCCUCCCGAGGUUGCCAGCUACCAGACCCUCGAAUUACAACAACAUUGCUCCUCAGUGGGUCUGCAGCUCCACGACCCUCAGACCAGAAGAAGACCUCUCCUCCCCUGGGUCGCCAGCUUCCUGACCCUCGAAUUACAACCAAAUUGCUCCUCCCUGGGUCGGCAGCUCCACGACCCUCAAACUCCAACAACACUUCUCUUCCCUGGGUUGCCAGCUACUGGACCCUUGAAUUACAACAAAAUUGCUCCUCCCUGGGUCUGCAGCUCCACGACCCUCAGACCAGAACAAGACCUCUCCUCCCUGGGUCGCCAGCUUCCUGACCCUCGAAUUACAACCAAAUUGCUCCUCCCUGGGUCUGCAGCUCCACGACCCUCAGACCAGAACAAGACCUCUCUCCUCCCUGGGUCUCCAGCUUCCGGACCCUCAAAUUACAACCAAAUUGCUCCUCCCUGGGUCGGCAGCUUCACGACCCUCAAACUCGAACAAGACUUCUCCUACCCGGGUUGCCAGCUACCGGACCCUUGAAUUACAACAAAAUUGCUCCUCCCUGGGUCUGCAGCUCCACGACCCUCAUACCAGAACAAGACCUCUCCUCCCCUGGGUCGCCAGCUUCCUGACCCUCGAAUUAGAACCAAAUUGCUCCUCCCUGGUUCGGCAGCUCCACGACCCUCAAACUACAACAAGACCUCUCCUCCCUGGGUCUCCAGCUUCCAGACCCUCGAAUUACAACAGAAUUGCUCCUCCCUGGGUCUGCAGCUCUACGACCCUCAAACUAGAACAAGACCUCUCCUCCCGGGGUCUCCAGCUUCCGGACCCUUGAAUUACAACAACAUUGCUCCUGCCUGGGUCUGCAGUUCCACAACCCUCAAACUAAAACAAGACCUCUCCUCCCUGGGUCGCCAGAUUCCUGACCCACGAACUACAACAAAAUUGCUCGUCCCUGGUCGGCAGCUCCACGAGCCUCAAACUCGAAGAAGACUUCUCCUCCCCAGGUUGCCAGCUACCACACCCUCGAAUUACAACAACAUUGCUCCUCCCUGGGUAUGUAGCUCCACGACCCUCAGACCAGAACAAGACCUCUCCUCCCUGGGUCGCCAGCUUCCUGACCCUCGAAUUACAACCAAAUUGCUCCUCCCUGGGUCGGCAGCUCCACGACCCUCAGACGAGAACAAGACCUCUCUCCUCCCUGGGUCUCCAGCUUCCGGACCCUCAAAUUACAACCAAAUUGCUCCUCCCUGGGUCGGCAGCUCCACGACCCUCAAACUCCAACAACACUUCUCUUCCCUGGGUUGCCAGCUACCGGACCCUUGAAUUACAACAAAAUUGCUCCUCCCUGGGUCUGCAGCUCCACGACCCUCACACCAGAACAAGACCUCUCCUCCCUGGGUCGCCAGCUUCCGGACCCUCGAAUUACAACAGCAUUGCUCCUCCCUGGUUCGGCAGCUCCACGACCCUCAAACUAGAACAAGACCUCUCCUCCCUGGGUCUCCAGCUUCCAGACCCUCGAAUUACAACCAAAUUGCUCCUCCCUGGGUCUGCAGCUCCACCACCCUCAAACUAAAACAAGACCUCUCCUUCCUGGGUCACCAGCUUCCUGACCCUCGAACUACAACAAAAUUGCUCCUCCCUGAUCAGCAGCUCCACCAGCCUCAAACUCGAACAAGACUUCUCCUCCCCAGGUUGCCAGCUACCAGACCCUCGAAUUACAACAACAUUGCUCCUCCCUGGGUCUGCAGCUCCACGACCCUCAGACCAGAAGAAGACCUCUCCUCCCCUUGGUCGCCAGCUUCCUGACCCUCGAAUUACAACCAAAUUGCUCCUCUCUGGGUCGGCAGCUCCACGACCCUCAAACUCCAACAACACUUCUCUUCCCUGGGUUGCCAGCUACCGGACCCUUGAAUUACAACAAAAUUGCUCCUCCCUGGGUCUGCAGCUCCAUGACCCUCACACCAGAACAAGACCUCUCCUCCCUGGGUCGCCAGAUUUCGGACCCUCCAAUUACAACAACAUUGCUCCUCCCUGGUUCGGCAGCUCCACGACCCUCAAACUACAACAAGACCUCUCCUCCCUGGGUCUCCAGCUUCCAGACCCUCGGAUUACAACAGAAUUGCUCCUCCCUGGGUCUGCAGCUCUACGACCCUCAAACUAGAACAAGACCUCUCCUCCCUGUGUCUCCAGCUUCCGGACCUUUGAAUUACAACAACAUUGCUCCUGCCUGGGUCUGCAGUUCCACAACCCUCAAACUAAAACAAGACCUCUCCUCCCUGGGUCGCCAGAUUCCUGACCCACGAACUACAACAAAAUUGCUCCUCCCUGGUCGGCAGCUCCACGAGCCUCAGACUCCAACAAGACUUCUCCUCCCCAGGUUGCCAGCUACCACACCCUCGAAUUACAACAACAUUGCUCCUCCCUGGGUAUGUAGCUCCACGACCAUCAGACCAGAAGAAGACAUCUCCUCCCUGGGUCACCAGCUUCCGGACCCUCCAAUUACAACCAAAUUGCGCCUCCCUGGUUCGGCAGCUCCACGACCCUCAAACUCGAACAAGACUUCUCCUACCCGGGUUGCCAGCUACCGGACCCUUGAAUUACAACAAAAUUGCUCCUCCCUGGGUCUGCAGCUCCACGACCCUCAUACCAGAACAAGACCUCUCCUCCCUGCGUCGCCAGCUUCCUGACCCUCGAAUUACAACCAAAUUGCUCCUCCAUGGGUCGGCAGCUCUACGACCCUCAAACUAGAACAAGACCUCUCCUCCCUGGGUCGCCAGCUUCCGGACCCUUGAAUUACAACAACAUAGCUCCUGCCUGGGUCUGCAGUUCCGCAACCCUCAAACUAAAACAAGACCUCUCCUCCCUGGGUCACCAGCUUCCGGACCCUCCAAUUACAACCAAAUUGCUCCUCCCUGGUUCGGCAGCUCCAUGACCCUCAAACCAGAACAAGACCUCUCCUCCCUGGGUCUCCAGCUUCCAGACCCUCGAAUUACAACCAAAUUGCUCCUCCCUGGGUCUGCAGCUCCACCACCCUCAAACUAAAACAAGACCUCUCCUCCCUGGGUCACCAGCUUCCUGACCCUCGAACUACAAAAAAAUUGCUCCUCCCUGAUCAGCAGCUCCACCAGCCUCAAACUCGAACAAGACUUCUCCUCCCCAGGUUGCCAGCUACCAGACCCUCGAAUUACAACAACAUUGCUCCUCCCUGGGUCUGCAGCUCCACGACCCUCAGACCAGAAGAAGACCUCUCCUCACCUGGGUCGCCAGCUUCCUGACCCUCGAAUUACAACCAAAUUGCUCCUCCCUGGGUCGGCAGCUCCACGACCCUCAAACUCCAACAACACUUCUCUUCCCUGGGUUGCCAGCUACCGGACCCUUGAAUUACAACAAAAUUGCUCCUCCCUGGGUCUGCAGCUCCACGACCCUCACACCAGAACAAGACCUCUCCUCCCUGGGUCGCCAGCUUUCGGACCCUCCAAUUACAACAACAUUGCUCCUCCCUGGUUCGGCAGCUCCACGACCCUCAAACUACAACAAGACCUCUCCUCCCUCGGUCUCCAGCUUCCAGACCCUCGAAUUACAACAGAAUUGCUCCUCCCUGGGUCUGCAGCUCUACGACCCUCAAACUAGAACAAGACCUCUCCUCCCUGGGUCUCCAGCUUCCGGACUCUCCAAUUACAACCAAAUUGCUCCUCCCUGGGUCGGCAGCUCCACGACCCUCAAACUAGAACAAGACCUCUCCUCCCUGGGUCACCAGCUUCCGGACCCUUGAAUUACAACAACAUUGCUCCUGCCUGGGUCUGCAGUUCCACAACCCUCAAACUAAAACAAGACCUCUCCUCCCUGGGUCGCCAGAUUCCUGACCCACGAACUACAACAAAAUUGCUCCUCCCUGGUCGGCAGCUCCACGAGCCACAAACUCGAACAAGACUUCUCCUCCCCAGGUUGCCAGCUACCACACCCUCGAAUUACAACAACAUUGCUCCUCCCUGGAUAUGUAGCUCCACGACCCUCAGACCAGAACAAGACAUCUCCUCCCUGGGUCACCAGCUUCCGGACCCUCCAAUUACAACCAAAUUGCGCCUCUCUGGUUCGGCAGCUCCACGACCCUCAAACUAGAACAAGACCUCUCCUCCCUGGGUCGCCAGCUUCCGGACCCUCCAAUUACAACAGCAUUGCUCCUCCCUGGUUCGGCAGCUCCACGACCCUCAAACUAGAACAAGACCUCUCCUCCCUGGGUCUCCAGCUUCCAGACCCUCGAAUUACAACAAUAUUGCUCCUCCCUGGGUCUGCACCUCCAACAACCUCAAACUAAAACAAGACCUCUCCUCCCUGGGUCACCAGCUUCCUGACCCUCGAACUACAACAAAAUUGCUCCUCCCUGAUCAGCAGCUCCACCAGCCUAAAACUCGAACAAGACUUCUCCUCCCCAGGUUGCCAGCUACCAGACCCUCGAAUUACAACAACAUUGCUCCUCCCUGGGUCUGCAGCUCCACGACCCUCAGACCAGAAGAAGACCUCUCCUCCCCUGGGUCGCCAGCUUCCUGACCCUCGAAUUACAACCAAAUUGCUCCUCCCUGGGUCGGCAGCUCCACGACCCUCAAACUCCAACAACACUUCUCUUCCCUGGGUUGCCAGCUACUGGACCCUUGAAUUACAACAAAAUUGCUCCUCCCUGGGUCUGCAGCUCCACGACCCUCACACCAGAACAAGACCUCUCCUCCCUGGGUCGCCAGCUUUCGGACCCUCCAAUUACAACAACAUUGCUCCUCCCUGGUUCCGCAGCUCUACGACCCUCAAAUUAGAACAAGACCUCUCCUCCCGGGGUCUCCAGCUUCCGGACCCUUGAAUUACAACAACAUUGCUCCUGCCUGGGUCUGCAGUUCCACAACCCUCAAACUAAAACAAGACCUCUCCUCCCUGGGUCGCCAGAUUCCUGACCCACGAACUACAACAAAAUUGCUCGUCCCUGGUCGGCAACUCCACGAGCCUCAAACUCGAAGAAGACUUCUCCUCCCCAGGUUGCCAGCUACCACACCCUCGAAUUACAACAACAUUGCUCCUCCCUGGGUAUGUAGCUCCAUGACCCUCAGACCAGAACAAGACCUCUCCUCCCUGGGUCGCCAGCUUCCUGACCCUCGAAUUACAACCAAAUUGCUCCUCCCUGGGUCUGCAGCUCCACGACCCUCAGACGAGAACAAGACCUCUCUCCUCCCUGGGUCUCCAGCUUCCGGACCCUCAAAUUACAACCAAACUGCUCCUCCCUGGGUCGGCAGAUCCACGACCCUCAAACUCGAACAAGACUUCUCCUACCCGGGUUGCCAGCUACCGGACCCUUGAAUUACAACAAAAUUGCUCCUCCCUGGGUCUGCAGCUCCACGACCCUCAUACCAGAAGAAGACCUCUCCUCACCUGGGUCGCCAGCUUCCUGACCCUCGAAUUAGAACCAAAUUGCUCCUCCCUGGGUCGGCAGCUCCACGACCCUCAAACUCCAAGAACACUUCUCUUCCCUGGGUUGCCAGCUACCGGACCCUUGAAUUACAACAAAAUUGCUCCUCCCUGGGUCUGCAGCUCCACGACCCUCACACCAGAACAAGACCUCUCCUCCCUGGGUCGCCAGCUUUCGGACCCUCCAAUUACAACAACAUUGCUCCUCCCUGGUUCGGCAGCUCCACGACCCUCAAACUACAACAAGACCUCUCCUCCCUGGGUCUCCAGCUUCCAGACCCUCGAAUUACAACAGAAUUGCUCCUCCCUGGGUCUUCAGCUCUACGACCCUAAAACUAGAACAAGACCUCUCCUCCCUGGGUCUCCAGCUUCCGGACCCUCCAAUUACAACCAAAUUGCUCCUCCCUGGGUCGGCAGCUCCACGACCCUCAAACUAGAACAAGACCUCUCCUCCCUGGGUCACCAGCUUCCGGACCCUUGAAUUACAACAACAUUGCUCCUGCCUGGGUCUGCAGUUCCACAACCCUCAAACUAAAGCAAGACCUCUCCUCCCUGGGUCGCCAGAUUCCUGACCCACAAACUACAACAAAAUUGCUCCUCCCUGGUCGGCAGCUCCACGAGCCUCAAACUCGAACAAGACUUCUCCUCCCCAGGUUGCCAGCUACCACACCCUCGAAUUACAACAACAUUGCUCCUCCCUGGGUAUGUAGCUCCACGACACUCAGACCAGAACAAGACAUCUCCUCCCUGGGUCACCAGCUUCCGGACCCUCCAAUUACAACCAAAUUGCGCCUCCCUGGUUCGGCAGCUCCACGACCCUCAAACUAGAACAAGACCUCUCCUCCCUCGGUCGCCAGCUUCCGGACCCUCGAAUUACAACAGCAUUGCUCCUCCCUGGUUCGGCAGCUCCACGACCCUCAAACUAGAACAAGACCUCUCCUCCCUGGGUCUCCAGCUUCCAGACCCUCGAAUUACAACCAAAUUGCUCCUCCCUGGGUCUGCAGCUCCACCACCCUCAAACUAAGACAAGACCUCUCCUUCCUGGGUCACCAGCUUCCUGACCCUCGAACUACAACAAAAUUGCUCCUCCCUGAUCAGCAGCUCCACCAGCCUCAAACUCGAACAAGACUUCUACUUCCCAGGUUGCCAGCUACCAGACCCUCGAAUUACAACAACAUUGCUCCUCCCUGGGUCUGCAGCUCCACGACCCUCAGACCAGAAGAAGACCUCUCCUCCCCUGGGUCGCCAGCUUCCUGACCCUCGAAUUACAACCAAAUUGCUCCUCCCUGGGUCGGCAGCUCCAUGACCCUCAAACUCCAACAACACUUCUCUUCCCUGGUUUGCCAGCUACCGGACCCUUGAAUUACAACAAAAUUGCUCCUCCCUGGGUCUGCAGCUCCACGACCCUCACACCAGAACAAGACCUCUCCUCCCUGGGUCGCCAGCUUUCCGACCCUCCAAUUACAACAACAUUGCUCCUCCCUGGUUCGGCAGCUCCACGACCCUCAAACUAGAACAAGACCUCUCCUCCCUCGGUCUCCAGCUUCCAGACCCUCGAAUUACAACAAUAUUGCUCCUCCCUGGGUCUGCAGCUCCAUGACCCUCAGACCAGAAGAAGACCUCUCCUCCCUGGGUCGCCAGCUUCCUGACCCUCGAAUUACAACCAAAUUGCUCCUCCCUGGGUCGGCAGCUCCACGACCCUCAAACUAGAACAAGACCUCUCCUCCCUGGGUCGCCAGCUUCCAGACCCUUGAAUUACAACAACAUAGCUCCUGCCUGGGUCUGCAGUUCCGCAACCCUCAAACUAAAACAAGACCUCUCCUCCCUGGGUCACCAGCUUCCGGACCCUCCAAUUACAACCAAAUUGCUCCUCCCUGGUUCGGCAGCUCCAUGACCCUCAAACCAGAACAAGACCUCUCCUCCCUGGGUCUCCAGCUUCCAGACCCUCGAAUUACAACCAAAUUGCUCCUCCCUGGGUCUGCAGCUCCACCACCCUCAAACUAAAACAAGACCUCUCCUCCCUGGGUCACCAGCUUCCUGACCCUCGAACUACAACAAAAUUGCUCCUCCCUGAUCAGCAGCUCCAGCAGCCUCAAACUCGAACAAGACUUCUCCUUCCCAGGUUGCCAGCUACCAGACCCUCGAAUUACAACAACAUUGCUCCUCCCUGGGUCUGCAGCUCCACGACCCUCAGACCAGAAGAAGACCUCUCCUCACCUGGGUCGCCAGCUUCCUGACCCUCGAAUUACAACCAAAUUGCUCCUCCCUGGGUCGGCAGCUCCACGACCCUCAAACUCCAACAACACUUCUCUUCCCUGGGUUGCCAGCUACCGGACCCUUGAAUUACAACAAAAUUGCUCCUCCCUGGGUCUGCAGCUCCACGACCCUCACACCAGAACAAGGCCUCUCCUCCCUGGGUCGCCAGCUUUCGGACCCUCCAAUUAAAACAACAUUGCUCCUCCCUGGUUCGGCAGCUCCACGACCCUCAAACUACAACAAGACCUCUCCUCCCUCGGUCUCCAGCUUCCAGACCCUCGAAUUACAACAGAAUUGCUCCUCCCUGGGUCUGCAGCUCUACGACCCUCAAACUAGAACAAGACCUCUCCUCCCUGGGUCUCCAGCUUCCGGACUCUCCAAUUACAACCAAAUUGCUCCUCCCUGGGUCGGCAGCUCCACGACCCUCAAACUAGAACAAGACCUCUCCUCCCUGGGUCACCAGCUUCCGGACCCUUGAAUUACAACAACAUUGCUCCUGCCUGGGUCUGCAGUUCCACAACCCUCAAACUAAAGACCUCUCCUCCCUGGGUCGCCAGAUUCCUGACCCACGAACUACAACAAAAUUGCUCCUCCCUGGUCGGCAGCUCCACGAGCCUCAAACUCGAACAAGACUUCUCCUCCCCAGGUUGCCAGCUACCACACCCUCGAAUUACAACAACAUUGCUCCUCCCUGGGUAUGUAGCUCCACGACCCUCAGACCAGAACAAGACAUCUCCUCCGUGGGUCACCAGCUUCCGGACCCUCCAAUUACAACCAAAUUGCGCCUCCCUGGUUCGGCAGCUCCACGACCCUCAAACUAAAACAAGACUUCUCCUCCCUGGUUCGGCAGCUCCACGACCCUCAAACUAGAACAAGACCUCUCCUCCCUGGGUCUCCAGCUUCCAGACCCUCGAAUUACAACCAAAUUGCUCCUCCCUGGGUCUGCAGCUCCACCACCCUCAAACUAAAACAAGACCUCUCCUCCCUGGGUCACCAGCUUCCUGACCCUCGAACUACAACAAAAUUGCUCCUCCCUGGGUCUGCAGCUCCACGACCCUCAGACCAGAAGAAGACCUCUCCUCCCCUGGGUCGCCAGCUUCCUGACCCUCGAAUUACAACCAAACUGCUCCUCCCUGGGUCGGCAGCUCCACGACCCUCAAACUCCAACAACACUUCUCUUCCCUGGGUUGCCAGCUACCGGACCCUUGAAUUACAACAAAAUUGCUCCUCCCUGGGUCUGCAGCUCCACGACCUUCACACCAGAACAAGACCUCUCCUCCCUGGGUCGCCAGCUUCCGGACCCUCCAAUUACAACAACAUUGCUCCUCCCUGGUUCGGCAGCUCCACGACCCUCAAACUAGAACAAGACCUCUCCUCCCUGGGUCUCCAGCUUCCAGACCCUCGAAUUACAACAAAAUUGCUCCUCCCUGGGUCUGCAGCUCCAUGACCCUCAGACCAGAACAAGACCUCUCCUCCACUGGGUCGCCAGCUUCCUGAUCCUCGAAUUACAACAAAAUUGCUCCUCCCUGGGUCGGCAGCUCCACGACCCUCAAACUAGAACAAGACCUCUCCUCCCUGGGUCGCCAGCUUCCUGACCCUCAAAUUACAACAAAAUUGCUCCUCCCUGGGUCUGUGGCUCCACAACCCUCAGACCAGAACAAGAUCUCUCUCCUCCCUGGGUCUCCAGCUUCUGGACCCUCAAAUUACAACCAAAUUGCUCCUCCCUGGGUCGGCAGCUCCACGACCCUCAAACUCGAACAAGACUUCUCCUCCCCGGGUUGCCAGCUACCGGACCCUCGAACUACAGCAACAUUGCUCCUGCCUGGGUCUGCAGCUCCACGAAAAUCAAACUAGAACAAGACCUCUCCUCCCUGGGUCGCCAGCUUUCUGACCCUCGAACUACAGCAAUGUUGCUCCUGCCUGGGUCUGCACUCCACAACCCUCAAACUAGAACAGCAGCACCAGCUGCUUCCUGGACUUCCAGCUCAAUGACUCUCACACUUCAAUGGCAGCAAUGGCUCCACCCCCAGGCUCCAGCUCCAACACCCUCAGAUCUGAGCAGCGGCAGCACCAGCUCCUUUCUGGGUCUUCUGUUUCACGAUCCUUAAAUUAGAACAGCAGCACCAUCUUCUCCCUGGGUCUCCAGCUCCACGAAACUCAAGCUAGAAUAGCAGCACCGGCUCCUCUGGGAUCUUCAGCUCCACGACCCUAAGACAUCAGUGGCAGCACUGGCUCCUCCCCUGGGCUCCAGCUCCAGGACCCUCAAACUUGAACAGAAACACCAGCUCCUCCCCAGGCCUCCAGCUCCUUGACCCUCAUAAACAAUCCCUUCUUAUGAAAUGUAGCAGUCAGGAAAACUGUAGAGGAAGUAAAUAAAUAAAUGGUUUCCUUUCAAA